rnacentral:rRNA from 1 species
AGAGUUUGAUCCUGGCUCAGGAUCCGCGCUGGCGGCGUGCCUAACACAUGCAAGUCGAACGCCAUUUGUCUCGCAAGAGAGGGAGGGAGUGGCGGACGGGUGAGUAACACAUGGGUGACCUACCACCACAAGAGGGAUACCGGCGAGCCAUUGCCGACCAACCAGCAUAGGUUUUUGCUGGUAGAGCCAAGAGAGCCAAGGUGCUUUUUCGCGAGAGGAAGCGCCGCUGAGGGAUGGGCCUGUGGCCGAUUAGCUAGUUGGUGAGGUAAGAGCUUACCAAGGCGUCGAUCGGUAGCUGGUCUGAGAGGACGAUCAGCCACACUGGGAUUGAGAACGGCCAAGACUCCUACGGGGGGCAGCCAAGAGGUUUAAUCCGCAAUGGACGCAAGUCUGACGGAGCAACGCCGCGUGCAGGAGGACGCUUUUCGGAGUGUCCGCUGCUUUUCUGUGGGAAGAGGAUGGACGGUACCACAGGAAGAAGCCACGGCUAACUACGUGCCAGCAGCCGCGGUAAUACGUAGGGGGCGAGCGUUGUCCGGAGUUACUGGGCGUCCGGGGCAUGCAGGCGGUCGUACGCGUUUCGGGUGCGGGUGGCUUAACUACCAGAGUGUUCGCCAGACGGUACGACUUGAGGGCUCGAGAGGGACACGGAAUUCCGGGUGGAGUGGUGCCAUGCGUAGAGAUCCGGAGGAACACCGAAGGCGAAGGCCAAGUCCUGGCGAGUGACUGACGCUGAGGUGCGCCAGCUAGGGGAGCGAACGGGAUUAGAUACCACGGUAGUCCUAGCCGUCCGCGAUGACCACCAGGUGUGGGAGGUAUCGACCACUUCCGUGCCGGAGUUAACACACUAAGUGGUCCGCCUGGGGAGUACGGUCGCAAGAAUCAGACUCCGAGGAAUUGACGGGGACCGC